CUGCUGGCGGAAUGCUCGAGCUGCUCGCGCGGCGAGAGAGCGGGCCGCCGCGUGCCGGCCGGGGGACGGACCGGGAACGGCCCCCUCGGGGGCCUUCCCCGGGCGUCGAACAACCGACUCAGAACUGAAUCCAAGCUAGCAACCGGCGCCUCUGCUCGCCGCCCGCCCCCGACCCACGUUAGGGCGUUCGCGCCCCAAGGGCCCGUGCCAUUGGCUCAGCCCGCUCCGGCCGACGCGCCGCGGCGGGCCGCCUCGAAGCUCCCUUCCCAACGGGCGGCGUUGCUGAAUCCUUUGCAGAACGACUUAAAACGCGACGGGGUCCAUUGUAAGUGGCAGAGUGGCCUUGCUGCCACGAUCCACUGA
rnacentral:misc_RNA from 1 species